rnacentral:rRNA from 1 species
AUUGAACGCUGGCGGCAUGCUUUACACAUGCAAGUCGAACGGCAGCGCGGGCUUCGGCCUGGCGGCGAGUGGCGAACGGGUGAGUAAUACAUCGGAACGUGCCCAGUAGUGGGGGAUAGCUCGGCGAAAGCCGGAUUAAUACCGCAUACGACCUGAGGGUGAAAGCGGGGGAUCUUCGGACCUCGCGCUAUUGGAGCGGCCGAUGGCAGAUUAGCUAGUUGGUGGGGUAAAGGCCUACCAAGGCGACGAUCUGUAGCUGGUCUGAGAGGACGACCAGCCACACUGGGACUGAGACACGGCCCAGACUCCUACGGGAGGCAGCAGUGGGGAAUUUUGGACAAUGGGCGAAAGCCUGAUCCAGCAAUGCCGCGUGUGUGAUGAAGACCUUCGGGUUGUAAAGCACUUUUGGCGGGAACGAAAAGGACUGUGCCAAUACCACGGUUCGAUGACGGUACCCGCAGAAUAAGCACCGGCUAACUACGUG